rnacentral:rRNA from 1 species
AUGUCGGAGGGGUCGAUUCCUAAGGAGGCGGUGUACCAGAUCAUCAGCGACGAGCUGAUGCUGGACGGGAACCCGCGGCUGAACCUGGCAUCCUUCGUCACCACCUGGAUGGAGCCCGAGUGCGGCAAGCUCAUGAUGGACUCCGUCAACAAGAACUACGUCGACAUGGACGAGUACCCAGUCACCACCGAGCUCCAGGCUGCUCCAUUUCUUGAUUUGACAUUGAUAGAGUAG